rnacentral:rRNA from 1 species
UACGUAGGUGGCAAGCGUUGUUCGGAAUUACUGGGCGUAAAGGGCGCGUAGGCGGCUGCGUAAGUCGGGCGUGAAAGCCCGGGGCUCAACCCCGGAAUGUCUCUCGAAACUGCGCGGCUCGAGUGCGGAAGAGGCAACUGGAAUUCCCAGUGUAGCGGUGAAAUGCGUAGAUAUUGGGAAGAACACCUGAGGCGAAGGCGGGUUGCUGGGCCGACACUGACGCUGAGGCGCGAAAGCCAGGGGAGCAAACGGG